CCCUAUUAUAAACUAAGUGAGAUAAAUUAGUAUGUUGUAUUGAAAAUUAAUGAUUUUGGCGGCUAAUUAUUUAUUUAGAGGAGCUUGUUUUGGAAGAGUAAUAACACUUUAUAUUUAUAUAGUUGAUUUGAAGUUUAUUCAUCUCCGUUAUUAAAUAAGUUGAAGAAAGAUUUUUUCUUUAAUUUCAGGUCAAGAUGUAGCAUUGAUUUAUAGAUAAAGAUUAGCUAUUAGUAAAUUAAUUAUAAUAAUAACUAUUAUUGGGAAAUAUAAGAUAGAAUAAAAUUUAAUUGUAAUAAUAUUUACAAAGAUAAUAUGACUGAUUAUAAUUAGUGUA
rnacentral:rRNA from 1 species